rnacentral:rRNA from 1 species
AUUGAACGCUGGCGGCAUGCUUUACACAUGCAAGUCGAACGGUAACAGGCCGCAAGGUGCUGACGAGUGGCGAACGGGUGAGUAAUGCAUCGGAACGUGCCCAGUCGUGGGGGAUAACUGCUCGAAAGGGCAGCUAAUACCGCAUACGAUCUAUGGAUGAAAGCGGGGGACCGUAAGGCCUCGCGCGAUUGGAGCGGCCGGUGUCAGAUUAGGUAGUUGGUGGGGUAAAGGCUCACCAAGCCAACGAUCUGUAGAUGGUCUGAGAGGACGACCAGCCACACUGGGACUGAGACACGGCCCAGACUCCUACGGGAGGCAGCAGUGGGGAAUUUUGGACAAUGGGCGCAAGCCUGAUCCAGCAAUGCCGCGUGCAGGAAGAAGGCCUUCGGGUUGUAAACUGCUUUUGUACGGAACGAAACGGCUCUCUCUAAUACAGGGGGUUAAUGACGGUACCGUAAGAAUAAGCACCGGCUAACUACGUGCCAGCAGCCGCAGUAAAAC